rnacentral:rRNA from 1 species
GGACGAACGCUGGCGGCGUGCCUAAUACAUGCAAGUCGAACGGUCUUUCUAUGGAAGCUUGCUUCCACUGAGAAGAUAGUGGCGAACGGGUGAGUAACACGUGGGUAACCUGCCCAUAAGAGGGGGAUAACAUCCGGAAACGGGUGCUAAUACCGCAUAGUUUUCUUGAUCGCAUGAUCGGGAAAGGAAAGACGGCCUUUGUGCUGUCGCUUAUGGAUGGACCCGCGGCGUAUUAGUUAGUUGGUGAGGUAACGGCUCACCAAGACGAUGAUACGUAGCCGACCUGAGAGGGUGAUCGGCCACAUUGGGACUGAGACACGGCCCAAACUCCUACGGGAGGCAGCAGUAGGGAAUCUUCCGCAAUGGACGAAAGUCUGACGGAGCAACGCCGCGUGAGUGAAGAAAAGGGUUUUCGGAUCGUAAAACUCUGUUGUCAGAGAAGAACAAGUUGGAGAGUAACUGCUCCAGCCUUGACGGUAUCUGACCAGAAAGCCACGGCUAACUACGUGCCAGCAGCCGC